GUACUCCCUCGGUUCACUUUGCUGUACUUUUGCAGGGAGACCAUGUCACGUUCUUAAAUGUGUAUAAAGGAUUCAUUUAGUCUAAUAAAUCUUCGCAGUGGUGUCACAAGAAUUUUUUAAAUUAUCAUGCCAUGGUAUUGCCAUUCAGUCACAAUGGGAUGUACAUGACUGUCAGAACGUCUCAAGAAGUUCAUAUUCAUCCUUCAUCUGUGCUGUUCAGGUAUUUUUAUAUCAUAGGUUUCAAUGUAUUAUUACUUCACCUUUGCUAUACUCUCUAAAGAAAGGUGCUACAUUUCUUUAUUUUUAUGCGAAUUUUUGAGGGCUUUCCAUGUGGGCUUCAAACUCCGGGGAGUUUAGGCUCGCCCCACUGCCUCUCUCCCAACUAAAAUACCAGGUUUUGUUUGCGGUAGUUUUUGAACCGUGAGACAUGUGCCUUGCUUACACGUCACGUGUUUUGUCCUUACCACUGAACCAAAACCCGAGAGCUAAGAAGAGGCUAUACUUGUUGAGUUGAAUAAAUAGUUAACAAAUAGUGAAUAUUCCAAAUUGUUGCAUCCUAUUAUUGCAUGGUUUGGUUAGGAAUUGGUUCUUUAUUGUCGCCAUCUUUCCUUCGUAUAUGUACCUGCGUGCAUCGACGCUGAACAUCUUUUUUUUUUUUUUGCUUUGAUCAGCGAAAGCAUGGCUGAACUUAUUUCGUAACUGCAUGUUCAUGUCCCGCACGAACACAGUUUCUACUCGAAACGGAUCUUGUACUAACA